UGGGGAAUAUUGGACAAUGGGUGAGAGCCUGAUCCAGCCAUGCCGCGUGCAGGAAGAAGGCGUUAUGCGUUGUAAACUGCUUUUGCCAGGGGAUAAAAAGACCGUGCGCGGUUAAUUGAAGGUACCUGGUGAAUAAGCCACGGUUAACUACGUGCCAGCAGCCGCGGUAAUACGUAGGGUGCAAGCGUUAAUCGGAAUUACUGGGCGUAAAGCGUGCGCAGGCGGUUAUGUAAGACAGAUGUGAAAUCCCCGGGCUCAACCUGGGAACUGCAUUUGUGACUGCAUAGCUAGAGUACGGUAGAGGGGGAUGGAAUUCCGCGUGUAGCAGUGAAAUGCGUAGAUAUGCGGAGGAACACCGAUGGCGAAGGCAAUCCCCUGGACCUGUACUGACGCUCAUGCACGAAAGCGUGGGGAGCAAACAGGAUUAGAUACCCACGUAGUCCCUGAGCGGGCUGGCAAGGCGCAU
rnacentral:rRNA from 1 species